rnacentral:rRNA from 1 species
GAUAUUUACAAUUGAUAUUGCUAUAUUUGUUAUGCAGUGCAUCCUUUAAAUAAGCUACCAUAUUCUAAGCUAGACUCGAAGGCCAUUGGGAUAAAGAAUGGCGUAAUUUUUGUAACUUACAGCAGCUUGAUAGCAUCAUCCGAGAGAGGCCGUUCUCGUUUGCAGCAACUAGUCCAAUGGUGUGGACAUGAGUUUGAUGGUCUCAUAGUGUUCGAUGAGUGCCACAAGGCCAAAAAUCUGAUUCCUGAUGCAGGGAGCCAGCCCACCCGCACUGGUGCUCUUGAGAAAGGUGGUGUGGGUGCCCUUGAACUUGUUGCCAUGGACAUGAAAGCUAGGGGUAUGUAUGUCUGUCGUACACUAAGUUAUAAGGGGGCAGAUUUUGAUACUGUGGAGGCUCCUCUUGAGGAAAGAAUGACGGUAAAAACCAUAAAAUAUUAG